ACUAAAAAAAAACUUGUGUCAAUAAAAUUAAUGGAAGAAAAAAUCAAUUCUUAGACUAAAUUAUCUUUAACCAAAGGGUGUCUUUUCAUUCAAUUGCCUUUAAAGGGUUAAAGGCCUUUUAAGCCUUGCCUUCUAAUAUUUGAGAAGUGAGAUGGUUAGGAAAUGUAUUGGAGUACUUAUGGUCAUUAUGAUAGGGUUUUAUAUCCUCACUGUGGUUAAAAUACAAGCUAAUAAUCUUGGCCCUGCUACCUCUUUUCCUCAUUCAGUUCCGAUCAUGAUUCCUCAUUUCUCUGAACUUGAUGAGGCCCAGAAGCCAGGGCAUCAAGAGCCAAAGCCAACAUUGCAUAGUUGCAUUGAAAAAGUAUUUGAAGAUUGUGAGCAAAGCAACAAGCCAAUUCAUGACCAUGAACUUGCCUACGGUGAUUGUCUCUUUAUUGGUUUUAUACUUUGCCAACACACAAUUGAGCAUUCAAUUUUUCUUCAAAAUUGCAUAAGUGCUUGCUGGGUAGACCGCUAUGAACAUAAUAAGCCUUUAGCACGUUGUUUGGAAGCCUGUUAUAAAAGGCAUGUCAAGAAACAUCCUAAUAAGAGCCACCCAAACAAUCCAUGAUCUCCAAUUUUAGAUCCGAUUCAACCGGAGGCUUUUUAUAGCAACGCACGAGACUCGGAUGUGUUACAUGCAUUAAAGUUCUCAAUUGUCUUUUGUUUCAAAUAAUGUUUUUCUUUUUUUUUUUUUUAAAAAAAAAAAAAAAAAAUUCUGGAAUAAUAAUCAUGGACGCUUUACUAAAUAAUUUCUACUAUUGUGUGUUUGAGUUGUCAAGUUAUGUUGACCGGACCAUUUUGGAUCCAAAAGUAUAUCAUUUCUUCUGGGUUGAAUUUCA